AAUAUAGUGCCUGAAUUUAAAAGGGUAGCACUGAUACAGCUAAUAAUGUAAUUUUUUUACCUAUAUUA
rnacentral:tRNA from 1 species